UCUUUGCUAGUAUAUCGGUUAGUACACGCGCCUGUCAUUCUGCGGCUACAUGCGAUGUGCGCGCGCGAAAGCUGGGUUCGACUCCCAGGCAGAGAG